GGGAUUGCGACUAUGGUGUGACUUCAAGUGGAUGACUAAUCUGAAACAAUCGGAUGGCAUAAUGACGACAGCUUUAUGAUAACAGCAUCAUCGCUUGCAAGGCUACGGUGCAAGUUGGCUCGAAAAAGUGGACAGUGCAUGUUCUGUGCAUAAUGUUUGCAGUAGCCCAUUUUGUUUGUGAACUUUGUGGCUGAGCUCGUGCUGCAAGACUCACCUCCUCGUGGACAUUGUGAUCUGCUGUACGAACGUUGUCGAGCAACAGCUUUGCCAUGCUGCUGGAGAACCUUUCAACCGAGUUCAACCGAGUUCAACCUUUCAGGCGAACUUUUCCUGUGUUUUGUAAUGAGACCAAGUUUUGUAGUCCUGUGUGUGUUCAUAUAGUAUUUCUACUCUCUUUGAUGUGCCUCUCUUGUUUAAUCAUUACUACACUUUGUUUCAUACUUAGUAGGCAAUGUUGCGGAAGCUGUAAAAAUAUGGCGAAUCUUUCCAGAAGCUCAUGCGGGUUCCCUCGUAGCUUCUGGCUACUUCUAACAGAUAAGAAAUUUUCCAUUUCGUGGAAGUAGUGCAGUCUCACUCUGUGCAUAUUGCGGUGCAGUUGUAUUUGGUCCGCAAUGCUUUCUAUCGCAUAACAUCACACAUUACAACUCCACUGAAAACAUUGAUGUGUGUAGCUUCUUGGACAUGACUGAGCUUUUGGUGGGUAGCAUGUGCUUCCUGCACCAACAAUUUAGUAAAUAUUGACGUGUCUGCAAAGCGCAAGAGACGAGGACGGAAGAAAGGACGCAAUACAGGCGCAUGUCUGUGUUGUCUUCUGGCUUCGUAUGGUUGUUACUAGACAUAGGGCCCCAUGGUUGUAUAUAUUUAUUAAUUCAUUGGUUUUAGAUUUCCUUACAGACCUCCUUUCUUCCAUCCUCAUCUUUUGCGCUGUGUAGACACAUUGAUAUUGCAUCAUCAACUCGCCUAAGAUUCCACUUUAUCAAAAUAUGGCGAAGUGUUUUGGUAUUUUUUUUCUGUAGCCUUGCUGUAGCACUUGGAAACUGCAGGCACUCAUAAUUAUUUUUACACCUUGUGCCCAUACUUCUUAUAGUGGUUCCAUAGUGCAGUGUGCUUGCCUGCAAAUUGUUCAUUGUGGUGUUUCUCAUUUGUUUUUUUGUUUUUUUUUUCUGACUGUGUUGCACUUAUAUGGACAGCUAGUGGAAUUCUUUCCAUUGUACCUCUCUGAACUACAUCAUAUACAGCGAUGGUUUUUAUUCUGAACAAAGAGAAAAUUAAGAUCUUGUGCUUAAGGCUGCUCUACCUUGUUUUUGCUCAGAUUUCGCGUCAAGAUUGCAUUUCUUGGCGUGCAUCACCCAGUAAAAUAGUUAACAUUCUUGUUGGCCUGGCUUGUCCUGACAUUUAAGUUGCCAGCAGUCAGGAAACCAGUCUUUGCCAUUGUACAAGCUGGUUCAGUUCGCCUGCAACUGUUGCUUUUGAAGGUUCUGCUUAACAAACCCGGGAAGCACUGAUACCAAGGGUUUGGAAUUUAAUGAUCAGAAGGUAAGAAAGUGAUUGUGCAGCAAAAUUUGAGCAAUAACAAACUUGGGGUAAUUGCUAAAUCUUGUUUUGUGAGGUUGUCAGAAUAAAAAAUGUUGGUCACUGCGUGUUUACACAAACCUUAUGCACGCUCAACGCACCUGUACUUGUGGGCAAUUUUCCAUGGCGAUGAAGGUGCAAGCUGCGGGGUAGAAGCUCCUGCACACAAAUCAAAUUACCAAUAACCUAAAACAAAAGUUCUUGCCCUUCUGGGCAUUUCUUGCUCCCAAACAAUUGUAAUCUAUCCAGCCUUCCUUUCUUUUCUUUAAUACUAAACGCUCAGUACUUUCGAUGUGAUGGCUGUCCCUCUUGUCAAUUUUGGUGGAUGGUUAGGCACAUGUGCUAAACCUAGCUCGGGGAAUGUUUGCUUUUUAUUAAGAAUAUGAAGCUUAGUGUAACUUCAGCCCUUACUUCAUAAUCACUUCUACUGUUAAAAAAAAGUGUUUACUCCCUGUUCUUUCAUUUUGCUUCAUUGUUUCAUAUGGUUGUUACUAAAUAUUGAGCCCCAUGGUUUUAUGUAUUGAUUUAUUGAUUUCAAGUUUUCUUACAGACCUGAUAUGCGGCAUUGAAUUCUCAUUCCUAACUGGCCUGCAAGCACUCAAAUUUGUAAAUUAAUUUAAUUUAGAGAGAGUAAACUUUAUUGCGAUAGCCCCAGCUCAGUUUCACCCACUUUGUAUAGGUUGUUGUCAGUCAAGCUGGGCUGUUUGAUCAGCUCAGUCGUGGCUUGUAUGUAUUUGGAGGAGGAGUCUGUUAGCCACUUCUCAAGAGUUACAGGCCGAUGGGUGGGCACAAGCAGUUGACAUUAGGUGAGAGAAAGUGAAAGCCCUUUGGCACUGCUAUUUGGGUAGAGAUGAAGUCAUUAUUGGUACGUCUUCAGUUUUGAAGGGAGCCAAAUGGGUGCUGCUCUGUUCCCACCUCCUAUUAAUUUUGGUGGGCAUGCUGUUUUUACACAAAAUGUAAAUGGCAAUGAAUAUAUAUAUAUUUUUUUCCAAACACCAUGCUAAUGACAUUUAAUGAAAACCUCUGUUAUGUGCAAAACAGUAAUCGAAUCUAAGACCACACUUGGGAGUACCUUCACACACGUGCCCCUGUCCUGCAGCUUUGAAAGUCUGGAAGUGCUUCCAUGAAAAGUUGUCCACAAAUUCAGAAGACAACAAGUAUACUCUAUCGACCAAUCUUUUGUGACAAAA